rnacentral:rRNA from 1 species
UGGGGAAUAUUGCACAAUGGGCGAAAGCCUGAUGCAGCGACGCCGCGUGAGGGAUGACGGCCUUCGGGUUGUAAACCUCUUUCGCUCGGGACGAAGGGUAACUGACGGUACCGGGAGAAGAAGCACCGGCUGACUACGUGCCAGCAGCCGCGGUAAUACGUAGGGUGCGAGCGUUGUCCGGAAUUAUUGGGCGUAAAGAGCUCGUAGGCGGUUUGUCGCGUCGACUGUGAAAACCUGGGGCUUAACUCUGGGCCUGCAGUCGAUACGGGCAGACUUGAGUUCGGUAGGGGAGACUGGAAUUCCUGGUGUAGCGGUGAAAUGCGCAGAUAUCAGGAGGAACACCGGUGGCGAAGGCGGGUCUCUGGGCCGAUACUGACGCUGAGGAGCGAAAGCGUGGGGAGCGAACAG